UACGAAGGGUGCAAACGUUGCUCGGAAUCAUUGGGCGUAAAGCGCACGUAGGCGGUUUAUCAAGUCGGAUGUGAAAUCCUUAGGCUCAACCAAAGAAGUGCAUUCGAAACUGAUAAACUUGAGUAUGGAAGAGGGUCGUGGAAUUCCCGGUGUAGAGGUGAAAUUCGUAGAGAUCGGGAGGAACAUCUGUGGCGAAGGCGACGACCUGGGCCAAUACUGACGCUGAGGUGCGAAAGCGUGGGGAGCAAACAGG
rnacentral:rRNA from 1 species